UACGUAGGGGGCAAGCGUUGUCCGGAAUUACUGGGCGUAAAGCGCGUGUAGGCUGCUCUGCAAGUCGGGUGUGAAAGCCCCGGGCUCAACCUGGGAAGUGCACUCGAAACUGCAGAGCUCGAGUCCUGGAGAGGAAGGCGGAAUUCUCGGUGUAGAGGUGAAAUUCGUAGAUAUCGAGAGGAACACCGGUGGCGAAGGCGGCCUUCUGGACAGUGACUGACGCUGAGACGCGAAAGCGUGGGGAGCAAACAGG
rnacentral:rRNA from 1 species